UACGUAGGGUGCAAGCGUUGUCCGGAAUCAUUGGGCGUAAAGCGCGCGUAGGUGGCUUCGUAAGUCCGUUGUGAAAGUCAAAGGCUCAACCUUUGAAUGCCGAUGGAUACUGCGAAGCUAGAGUACGGAAGAGGCGAGUGGAAUUCCUGGUGUAGCGGUGAAAUGCGCAGAUAUCAGGAGGAACACCAAUGGCGAAGGCAGCUCGCUGGGGACGUGAACUGACGCUGAGACGCGAAAGCGUGGGGAGGCAAACAGG
rnacentral:rRNA from 1 species